AACGCUAGCUACAGGCUUAACACAUGCAAGUCGAGGGGCAGCAUUGGAGUAGCAAUACUUCAGAUGGCGACCGGCGCACGGGUGAGUAACACGUAUCCAACCUGCCGCUUACUCGGGGAUAGCCUUUCGAAAGAAAGAUUAAUACCCGAUGGUAUAAAGAGUUCGCAUGUUCUCUUUAUUAAAGAAUUUCGGUAAGCGAUGGGGAUGCGUUCCAUUAGAUAGUUGGCGGGGUAACGGCCCACCAAGUCUACGAUGGAUAGGGGUUCUGAGAGGAAGGUCCCCCACAUUGGAACUGAGACACGGUCCAAACUCCUACGGGAGGCAGCAGUGAGGAAUAUUGGUCAAUGGGCGAGAGCCUGAACCAGCCAAGUAGCGUGAAGGAUGACUGCCCUAUGGGUUGUAAACUUCUUUUAUAAGGGAAUAAAGUGAGGGACGUGUCCCUUUUUGUAUGUACCGUAUGAAUAAGGAUCGGCUAACUCCGUGCCAGCAGCCGCGGUAAUACGGAGGAUCCAAGCGUUAUCCGGAUUUAUUGGGUUUAAAGGGAGCGUAGGUUGACAUAUAAGUCAGCUGUGAAAGUUUACGGCUCAACCGUGAAAUUGCAGUUGAUACUGUAUGUCUUGAGUGUACAAGAGGUGGGCGGAAUUCGUGGUGUAGCGGUGAAAUGCUUAGAUAUCACGAAGAACUCCGAUUG
rnacentral:rRNA from 1 species